UUUAUGUAUUUAUUUAUUUUUGCACCAGGGCCAUCAACAUCGUCUUCGUCACAUGUUUAUGAGGAGGAGCAAGUGGAAGACAACAUUGCGGCGUCCACACCACUUCCCAGCAGUGGUUCAACAGAAGCAGUGCCAUCAACUCCAUCACGACUUGAGGAGGAGCAAGUGGAAGCAUCCACACCACUUCCCAGCAGUGGUUCAACAGAAGUGCCAUCAACUCCAUCUCCACUUCAUGAGGAGGACAAAGAGGAAGAUGACAUUGACAUGGCAGAGACCACCCCACCAUCCAGAACUGGGGUACCUGUAGGUAUUGCAAGCACCACAUUAAGUGAUGACCCAGGAUGUUGGCCCAGUGUCCUAACAAGCAGUAUGCGCUGUGAAAUAGU